ACUGUGAACGGAGAAUCGACGAUCCAAAGCUUGAAGAACCUCCGGCGAGUUUCAACGAAUUCCGGCGACUCUGGCCACCGUUUGGGGUGCAUGUGGCGAGGACUGACCUUGAUUGAAGUUAAAGUCUGGAAAUUUCGAGUUGGUGACUGUCAGAUCGUACUUCAUCACUAGUUGAGCUUCGUCGAGUUUCCGGAAAACGUUGAGGAUCAAAAUAAGAAACUUUGAGUUGUGGACGUUGAGGCUUGGAUUGCCAGUUCAUCACCAGGUUCUUAGAGAGCUGCUGC